AACGAACGCUGGCGGCAGGCUUAACACAUGCAAGUCGAACGCCCACUUUCGGGUGGGAGUGGCAGACGGGUGAGUAACGCGUGGGAACGUACCUUUCGGUUCGGAAUAACCCAGGGAAACUUGGGCUAAGACCGGAUACGCCCCCCUUUCAAAUGUCAGGAUGAUUGGAUGCCAUUCUGGCAUUUGAUGGGGGGGAAAGAUUUAUCGCCGAAAGAUCGGCCCGCGUCGGAUUAGCUAGUUGGUGGGGUAAGUGGCCUACCAAGGCGACGAUCCGUAGCUGGUCUGAGAGGAUGAUCAGCCACACUGGGACUGAGACACGGCCCAGACUCCUACGGGAGGCAGCAGUGGGGAAUAUUGGACAAUGGGCGCAAGCCUGAUCCAGCCAUG
rnacentral:rRNA from 1 species